AGCAGUUGUGUUUGUUUUUAAUUUGUGGACAAAGACUUACAGAUAAGUGCAAAAAUAAAUCAUUUUUUGCAGCCCAGAAUUCAUUGUUCAGUAUGAGUUUUGAUACAGAUAAAAAGGAACAAU
ensembl:snoRNA